UAAUAUAAGAGUCAAAAGCUGAACAGUUAUUUGUGCCUGUACGAUAAGAUGUUCGAAUUUGUGACUCAUCAAACAUGAGGAAGUAGAGAUUUAUGUAGUAAAUCAAUGUAUUCCAUAUGCUUGCGGAGUGCGAAAGCUGCCAUGCAGCAAAGCAAUCCAUAAAUAUCA
rnacentral:sRNA from 1 species